rnacentral:lncRNA from 1 species
AGGAAAACGCGGGUCUUGCUAAUUCCUCGAAGAAUAAAAACUAGAAAAAAAGAAGAGAAGAAUGAUACUGGAAUCACAUGUGGCGAGACCUACGUAAGUCUAGCCCACAUGUGUUCCAAUAUCUUCUUCUUCUCCUCUUUCUUUUUAAAAUCUUUCUAAUUUGAAAAGUAAACUGGUGAGUAAUUAGUGUGUGAUUUGAGAUAGUGUGUGAUUUGUGAGUUUGUGUGUGAUUUGAGAAGGAAACUUGUGGGUAUUUAUAGAAAAGCGGACCUCUCUAAUUCCUCGUAAAGUAAGGACUCGUUAAUUCUACGUAAGGAAAAAUCGUCGUAAAGACCUCGUAAUCGGAAAACGCGGGCCUUGCUAUUUCCUCGUAUAGUAAAAUGCGGGCCUCGCUAUUUCCUCGUAUUGUAAAACGCGGGCCUUUGUAAUUCCUCGUAACUUUACAAGGAAAUUACGAGGACAUGUAAUCUCUUAUAUAUACUCCCGAGCGCUCACUCUUUAUUUCGUC